rnacentral:rRNA from 1 species
AUACGUAGGGGGCGAGCGUUGUCCGGAAUGAUUGGGCGUAAAGGGCGCGUAGGCGGCCCGGUAAGUCUGGAGUGAAAGUCCUGUUUUUAAGAUGGGAAUUGCUUUGGAUACUGACGGGCUUGAGUUCGGGAGAGGUAAGUGGAAUUCCCAGUGUAGCGGUGAAAUGCGUAGAGAUUGGGAGGAACACCAGUGGCGAAGGCGACUUACUGGACUGUAACUGACGCUGAGGCGCGAAAGUGUGGGGAGCAGACAGGAUUAGAUACCCUGGUAGUCCACACUGUAAACGAUGAAUGCUAGGUGUAGGGGGUAUCGACCCCUUCUGUGCCGCAGUCAACACAAUAAGCAUUCCGCCUGGGGAGUACGGCCGCAAGGUUGAAACUCAAAGGAAUUGACGGGG